rnacentral:rRNA from 1 species
CCUACGGGUGGCAGCAGUCGAGAAUCAUUCACAAUGGGGGAAACCCUGAUGGUGCGACGCCGCGUGGGGGAAUGAAGGUCUUCGGAUUGUAAACCCCUGUCAUGUGGGAGCAAAUUAAAAAGAUAGUACCACAAGAGGAAGAGACGGCUAAUUCUGUGCCAGUAGCCGCGGUCAUACAGAGGUCUUAAGCGUUGUUCGGAACCACUGGGCGUAAAGCGUGCGUAGGCUGUUUCGUAAGUCGUGUGUGAAAGGCGCGGGCUCAACCCGCGGACGGCACAUGAUACUGCGAGACUAGAGUAAUGGAGGGGGAACCGGAAUUCUCGGUGUAGCAGUGAAAUGCGUAGAUAUCGAGAGGAACACUCGUGGCGAAGGCGGGUUCCUGGACAUUAACUGACGCUGAGGCACGAAGGCCAGGGGAGCGAAAGGGAUUAGAUACCCGGGUAGUC